rnacentral:rRNA from 1 species
UAACCUGCCCAAGAGACUGGGAUAACACCUGGAAACAGAUGCUAAUACCGGAUAACAACACUAGACGCAUGUCUAGAGUUUAAAGGAUGGUUCUGCUAUCACUCUUGGAUGGACCUGCGGUGCAUUAGCUAGUUGGUAAGGUAACGGCUUACCAAGGCAAUGAUGCAUAGCCGAGUUGAGAGACUGAUCGGCCACAUUGGGACUGAGACACGGUCCAAACUCCUACGGGAGGCAGCAGCG